rnacentral:rRNA from 1 species
GACGAACCGUGCGAACGUUGUUCGGAUUCACUGGGCUUAAAGGGCGCGUAGGCGGCGGCUCAAGUCGGGGGUGAAAUCCUCUCGCUUAACGAGAGAAUUGCUUUCGAUACUGGGUCGCUGGAGGGAGAUAGGGGUGCGCGGAACUUCCGGUGGAGCGGUGAAAUGCGUAGAUAUCGGAAGGAACACCGGUGGCGAAGGCGGGUCUCUGGACCGAUAUCGACGCUGAGGAGCGAAAGCGUGGGGAGCGAACAGG